rnacentral:tRNA from 1 species
GCGAGAAUGGUGAAACUGGUAGACACGCAAGGUUGAGGGCCUUGUAUUAGCAAUAAUGUGUGAGUUCAAAUCUCAUUUCUCGCA